rnacentral:rRNA from 1 species
CGCAUCUGUGCAUGCAGCAUAUCAAUAAGCGGAGGAAAAGAAACUAACAAGGAUUCCCCUAGUAACGGCGAGUGAAGCGGGAAGAGCUCAAAUUUGAAGUCUUAAAGGGUUUCCCUUUACGAAUUGUAGUUUAAAGAAGUGUUUUCUGUUGAGGUUUUGGUAAAAGUUCUUUGGAAUAGGACAUCAUAGAGGGUGAGAAUCCCGUAUUUGACCUUUACUUUCAACUUUGUGAUACACUUUCAAAGAGUCGGAUUGUUUGGGAAUGCAGUCCAAAAUGGGUGGUAAAUUUCAUCUAAAGCUAAAUAUUGGCGAGAGACCGAUAGCGAACAAGUACCGUGAGGGAAAGAUGAAAAGAACUUUGAAAAGAGAGUUAAACAGUACGUGAAAUUGUCAAAAGGGAAGCGUUUGACACCAGUGUUGUUUUUCUGAAAAUCAAUUAAAGAACUGUUUAUGCUAAGCUGUUUAGACUUUAUCAGCUAACUGUUUAGUUUUGAGCUUUUCUUUAAUGCACUUUUCAGUUAACAAGUCAACAUCAAUUUCUUUUGCUGUAAAAAAGCUUGAGGAAGGUGGCUUGAGAUUCGUCUUAAGUGUUUAUAGCCUCUUGCCUAUGCAGUCGGAGAGAUUGAGGUCCGCAGCGUAGAUCCUUCGGGGCUAAAUGCAUUUGUGCUAAGUUAUAACAUUUUAUAGACAACUUGUUGACUAUGAUUUGUCUUGUAGCUUACUCGCUUAUGUUAUUUUACCUACGCUUAGGAUGUUGACAGCAGUAUAGACUGU